GCAUAUCAAUAAGCGGAGGAAAAGAAACCAACAGGGAUUGCCCUAGUAACGGCGAGUGAAGCGGCAACAGCUCAAAUUUGAAAUCUGGCUCUCGGGCCCGAGUUGUAAUUUGUAGAGGAUGACUUUGAUGCGGUGCCUUCCGAGUUCCCUGGAACGGGACGCCAUAGAGGGUGAGAGCCCCGUCUGGUUGGAUGCCAAAUCUCUGUAAGUCUCCUUCGACGAGUCGAGUAGUUUGGGAAUGCUGCUCUAAAUGGGAGGUAUAUGUCUUCUAAAGCUAAAUACCGGCCAGAGACCGAUAGCGCACAAGUAGAGUGAUCGAAAGAUGAAAAGCACUUUGAAAAGAGAGUUAAAAAGUACGUGAAAUUGUUGAAAGGGAAGCGUUUAUGACCAGACUUGGGCUUGGUUAAUCAUCUGGGGUUCUCCCCAGUGCACUUUUCCAGUCCAGGCCAGCAUCAGUUUUCGCCGGGGGAUAAAGGCUUCGGGAAUGUGGCUCCCUCCGGGGAGUGUUAUAGCCCGUUGUGUAAUACCCUGGCGGGGACUGAGGUUCGCGCUUCUGCAAGGAUGCUGGCGUAAUGGUCAUCAACGACCCGUCUUGAAACACGGACCAAGGAGUCGUCUUCGUAUGCGAGUGUUCGGGUGUAAAACCCCUACGCGUAAUGAAAGUGAACGCAGGUGAGAGCUUCGGCGCAUCAUCGACCGAUCCUGAUGUUCUCGGAUGGAUUUGAGUAAGAGCAUACGGGGCCGGACCCGAAAGAAGGUGAACUAUGCCUGUGUAGGGUGAAGCCAGAGGAAACUCUGGUGGAGGCUCGCAGCGGUUCUGACGUGCAAAUCGAUCGUCAAACAUGGGCAUGGGGGCGAAAGACUAAUCGAACCUUCUAGUAGCUGGUUUCCGCC
rnacentral:rRNA from 1 species